rnacentral:pre_miRNA from 14 species
GCCGGCGUGGCGGACCCCGUGCCAGGAGCGCGUUUACACAGGGCCCUCGUCUCGUAUGAAUUCUGUAAAUGCACUAUCUGGUACGACAGUCCGCCAUGUGCACGCUC